rnacentral:rRNA from 1 species
UGGGGAAUAUUGCACAAUGGAGGGAACUCUGAUGCAGCGACGCCGCGUGAGUGAUGAAGGACUUCGUUUCGUAAAACUCUGUUCUAUGAGAAGAAAAGGACUGUACCAUAGGAGAAAGCUCCGGCUAAAUACGUGCCAGCAGCCGCGGUAAUACGUAUGGAGCGAGCGUUGUCCGGAAUUAUUGGGCGUAAAGGGUGCGCAGGCGGCUUUACAAGUUGGAUGUGAAAUAUUGUGGCUCAACCACAAACGUGCAUCCAAAACUGCAAAGCUUGAGUUAAGGAGAGGUAAGUGGAAUUCCUGGUGUAGCGGUGGAAUGCGUAGAUAUCAGGAGGAAUACCGGUGGCGAAGGCGACUUACUGGACUUAAACUGACGCUCAGGCACGAAAGCGUGGGGAGCAAACAGG